AGGACGAACGCUGGCGGCGUGCUUAACACAUGCAAGUCGAGCGGAAAGGCCCUUCGGGGUACUCGAGCGGCGAACGGGUGAGUAACACGUGAGUAAUCUGCCCCUAGCUCUGGGAUAGCUCCGGGAAACCGGGAUUAAUACUGGAUACGACCACCUUAGACAUCUUUUGUGGUGGAAAGAAUUUCGGCUAGGGAUGAGCUCGCGGCCUAUCAGCUUGUUGGUGGGUAACGCCUACCGAAGGCGACGACGGGUA
rnacentral:rRNA from 1 species